AAACUAUGAUAGAGAAGAAUUGAUGUGUGUUGUGGUUGAUGAAUUAUAUUAGAGGUGUAUUAAGAUUUGUGAUGGUUAAAAUUAUGUUAGAGGUGUUAUACUUAUAUUAUUUAUACUUUUUUACAUGUAGUUCAAUUUGAAAAAGUCGUAUACUUAAGCCGAAUUCGAUGAGCCGUAGGUGCAUUCUUCUUCUCCCAACUUGUGCAUCACUCUCAAUUGAAGGUGAUGUACAUGUACAUCUCAAACUCUUGUAUUUCACCUCAAUAAUUCAUAUUUAUCUUCUUUUUUUAUUACUAAAGGAUGUAGAAGAAGUGUUCGUAGGUCGGUUUUUGUUUAAUCAAUUUUGUUGUGUUGGAAUCUGUAUUUGCAAAGAUUUUUGUGACGUUAAAAAAACGUCGCAGUAGAUCGAAUUUCUAGUA